rnacentral:tRNA from 1 species
GAGAGUAUAGCUCAAUUGGCAGAGUGCAGGCUUAGCAUGCAUGAGGUCCUGGGUUUAAUUCCCCAGUACCUUCU